UGCAGUCGAACGCUUUUUCUUUCACCGGAGCUUGCUCCACCGAAAGAAAAAGAGUGGCGAACGGGUGAGUAACACGUGGGUAACCUGCCCAUCAGAAGGGGAUAACACUUGGAAACAGGUGCUAAUACCGUAUAACACUAUUUUCCGCAUGGAAGAAAGUUGAAAGGCGCUUUUGCGUCACUGAUGGAUGGACCCGCGGUGCAUUAGCUAGUUGGUGAGGUAACGGCUCACCAAGGCAACGAUGCAUAGCCGACCUGAGAGGGUGAUCGGCCACACUGGGACUGAGACACGGCCCAGACUCCUACGGGAGGCAGCAGUAGGGAAUCUUCGGCAAUGGACGAAAGUCUGACCGAGCAACGCCGCGUGAGUGAAGAAGGUUUUCGGAUCGUAAAACUCUGUUGUUAGAGAAGAACAAGGAUGAGAGUAAAAUGUUCAUCCCUUGACGGUAUCUAACCAGAAAGCCACGGCUAACUACGUGCCAGCAGCCGCGGUAAUACGUAGGUGGCAAGCGUUGUCCGGAUUUAUUGGGCGUAAAGCGAGCGCAGGCGGUUUCUUAAGUCUGAUGUGAAAGCCCCCGGCUCAACCGGGGAGGGUCAUUGGAAACUGGGAGACUUGAGUGCAGAAGAGGAGAGUGGAAUUCCAUGUGUAGCGGUGAAAUGCGUAGAUAUAUGGAGGAACACCAGUGGCGAAGGCGGCUCUCUGGUCUGUAACUGACGCUGAGGCUCGAAAGCGUGGGGAGCGAACAGGAUUAGAUACCCUGGUAGUCCACGCCGUAAACGAUGAGUGCUAAGUGUUGGAGGGUUUCCGCCCUUCAGUGCUGCAGCAAACGCAUUAAGCACUCCGCCUGGGGAGUACGACCGCAAGGUUGAAACUCAAAGGAAUUGACGGGGGCCCGCACAAGCGGUGGAGCAUGUGGUUUAAUUCGAAGCAACGCGAAGAACCUUACCAGGUCUUGACAUCCUUUGACCACUCUAGAGAUAGAGCUUCC
rnacentral:rRNA from 1 species